AGUGAACGCUGGCGGUAGGCCUAACACAUGCAAGUCGAACGGCAGCACAGUAAGAUCUUGCUCUUAUGGGUGGCGAGUGGCGGACGGGUGAGGAAUACAUCGGAAUCUACUCUUUCGUGGGGGAUAACGUAGGUAAACUUACUCUAAUACCGCAUACGACCUACGGGUGAAAGCAUGGGAUCUUCGGACCUUGCGCGAUUGAAUGAGCCGAUGUCGGAUUAGCUAGUUGGCGGGGUAAAGGCCCACCAAGUCGACGAUCCGUAGCUGGUCUGAGAGGAUGAUCAGCCACACUGGAACUGGGACACGGUCCAGACUCCUACGGGAGGCAGCAGUGGGGAAUAUUGGACAAUGGGCGGAAGCCUGAUCCAGCCAUACCGCGUGGGUGAAGAAGGCCUUCGGGUUGUAAAGCCCUUUUGUUGGGAAAGAAAAGCAGCAGGUUAAUACCACGCUGUUGUGACGGUACCCAAAGAAUAAGCACCGGCUAACUUCGUG
rnacentral:rRNA from 1 species